UACGUAGGGUGCGAGCGUGUCCGGAAUUAUUGGGCGUAAAGAGCUCGUAGGCGGUCUGUCGCGUCGAUCGUGAAAACUUGGGGCUUAACCCUGAGCUUGCGGUCGAUACGGGCAUGACUGGAGUUCGGCAGGGGAGACUGGAAUUCCUGGUGUAGCGGUGAAAUGCGCAGAUAUCAGGAGGAACACCGGUGGCGAAGGCGGGU
rnacentral:rRNA from 1 species